ACACGGCCCCCAAGCACGCCCUCCACGCACACCAGGUGCCACCCUGCGGGAAGUUUGGGCAGCACGGAGUCCGCCAGCAUUCUACAGGAAGUUUGGGGGAGCACAAGGUUGCCUGCAGAAGGCCAUCAGAAGGGGGAGAGAAUGAAAUGGAAAUAAUGUUCUGGGACUUUUGAGUACAGGCCUUAAAAGGACUGGCAUCUUCUGCUUUUCCAUUUGGAACACCAGCCUGCUGUAUUGUGGAAAAGUCCAGGCCAGGACACUACAUGAUUAGAGGUGGUAUGGAGAGAGCACUGGAGGAGAGGAGAUCAUCUUGGAUGUCCCAGCUUUAGCCAAACUCCCAGCUGAAUGCAGCUGCACAUGUGACCUCAGCCUACCCCAUCUGAAUCAGACCCACCCAGCUGAGCUCACUCAAUCCACAUAUUUGUGAGAAAUAAUAAAUUGUUUGAAGCCACUAAGUUUUGGAGUGAUUUAUUAUUCCAUGAUAAAUAACUGAAAAAGGGAAAUAUUUUCUGAUGAUUCUUUAAUCCUUUUCCUGAAAGAUCCAUCUUGCCUAUCUUGGAAUCUUGAUAUGAGUUAAAAACCAAGGCCUGAUCCAUCUUUCUAAGGCAGAUAUAAGAC
rnacentral:lncRNA from 1 species